UACGUAGGGUGCAAGCGUUGUCCGGAAUUAUUGGGCGUAAAGAGCUCGUAGGCGGUUUGUUGCGUCGGCUGUGAAAUCCCGAGGCUCAACCUCGGGUCUGCAGUCGAUACGAGCAAACUAGAGUGUUGCAGGGGAGACUGGAAUUCCUGGUGUAGCGGUGAAAUGCGCAGAUAUCAGGGAGGAACACCGGUGGGCGAAAGGCGGGGUCCUCUGGGCGAACAACUGACG
rnacentral:rRNA from 1 species